rnacentral:rRNA from 1 species
AUGCACGCUGGCGGCGUGCCUCAUACAUGCCAGUCGCGCGAACAGACGAGGAGCUUGCUCCUCUGACGUUAGCGGCGGACGGGUGAGUAACACGUGGAUAACCUACCUAUAAGACUGGGAUAACUUCGGGAAACCGGAGCUAAUACCGGAUAAUAUAUUGAACCGCAUGGUUCAAUAGUGAAAGACGGUUUUGCUGUCACUUAUAGAUGGAUCCGCGCCGCAUUAGCUAGUUGGUAAGGUAACGGCUUACCAAGGCGACGAUGCGUAGCCGACCUGAGAGGGUGAUCGGCCACACUGGAACUGAGACACGGUCCAGACUCCUACGGGAGGCAGCAGUAGGGAAUCUUCCGCAAUGGGCGAAAGCCUGACGGAGCAACGCCGCGUGAGUGAUGAAGGUCUUCGGAUCGUAAAACUCUGUUAUUAGGAAGAACAAAUGUGUAAGUAACUAUGCACGUCUUGACGGUACCUAAUCAGAAAGCCACGGCUAACUACGUG